rnacentral:rRNA from 1 species
UGGUGGAGUGAUUUGUCUGGUUAAUUCCGUUAACGAACGAGACCUCGACCUGCUAAAUAGUUCGGCGUAUCUUAGGAUACGUACGUGACUUCUUAGAGGGACUAUCAGGAGAGUGUCCGAUGGAAGUUCGAGGCAAUAACA